AUUCCUGCAGCCCGGUUUAUGAUACACACACGCUCAGGGAUUGUACUUCCCAGAGAGGCUUCCGCCUGUGCUUGCUCCCGGAAUCUAUUAUCCAUCGUGCUUUUUUGUUGCACACGUCUUUAAAGUCCACCAGAAUCCAACGAAAUGGAGCCUCGAGGAAAAGAAGAGAUUUAGCCGCGAAGGAUUCUGGGAAUGCUGGGCUUACAGGGGCGCCGAUCUUCGCUGGCGCUAGGCGCUUGGUUUCCUCUCCGCAGCUCUCUGCGCACGACUUGAACUGCAAUAUUGGUUCUUCCUGUAUCUCCAGCCUGCUGGCCUUUGGAUUGGAACUGCACCAUCAGCUCUCCUGGGCCUCCAGCUGCUAACUCACCCUGCAGAUCUUGUGACCUCAGCCUUCAUAAUCAUGUGAACUGAUUUCUUCUCUUUUUUUUUUUUUUUUUUUUUUUGAGACGGAGUCUCUGUUGCCCAGGCUGGAGUGCAGUGGUGCGAUCUCGGCUCACUGCAGCCUCUGCCUCCCAGGUUCAAGUAAUUCUCCUGCCUCCCAAGUGGCUGGGAUUACAGGAGUAUGCCACCAUGCCCAGCUAAUUUUUUUGUAUUUUUAGUAGAGACAGGGUUUCAUCAUGUUGGCCAUGCUGGUCUCGAACUCCUGACCUCAAGUGGUCUGCCUGCCUUGGCCUCCCAAAGUGCUGGGGUUACAGGCGUGAGCCACCGUGCUUGGCCAUCAUGUGAACUGAUUUCUUAUUUCUCUCUCUAUGUAUCUCUCUCUACAUACACAUACAUCCCCCCCCCACACACACACACACCAUUAGUUUAAUCUCUGGAGAACCCUGAUUAAUACAGAAGACAUGAAGCAGACUAUUAAACAACUUGACCUAAGUGACAUUUAUAGAACACUCCGCCCAGCAACAGCACAGUACAUAUUCUUUUCAAUUGCACAUGGAACAUUCACCAAGAUAGGUCUCAAUACAUUUAAAAGGAUCAAAAUUAUGUUAAACAUGAUUAACAAAACAGAACAUUUUGUAGAAGAGCUAGAGGAUUAAGUAAAAAAAAAAUUCCUAGAAUACGAAGACACUAAAAGAGUAUAUAAGUGAAAAAUUGAGGGAGGAUACUGUGCCAGGAAGUACAGUGUCUACUAGAAGUUUCAGAAAGAGGAAACAGAGAAAAUCAGGGGCUGGGAUGUGAGAAUGAAGAAGUAAAAGAAGAACAAGUUCCCAGAAGAAAGUAUCGAGAUUCAAAAUCUCAUGGUAUCAGAGGCGUUUGAACCAGAGCAACUUCAUCUUGAGUAGGGGCGGGGUAAAAUGAGGCUGAGACCUACUGGGCUGCACUGCCAAUGCCAAUGGUGAAGGCAUUCUAAGUAAUAGGAUGAGAUAGGAGGUCAUCACAAGAUACAGGUUGUAAAGACCUUGCUGAUAAAACAGGUUGCGGUAAAGAAGGCAGCCCAAAACCCACCAAAACCAAGAUGGCAACCAGAGUGAUCUUGGUCGUCCUCACUGCCACACUCCUGCCAGCGCCAUGACAGGUUACAGAUGCCAUGGCAAUGCCAGGAAGUUACUUAAUAUGGUCUAAAAAAGGGUGGCAUGAAUAAUCCGCCUCUUGUUUAGCAUAUAAUCAAGAAAUAACCAUAAAAAUGGGCAACCAGCAGCGCUCGGGGCUGCUCUAUGGAGCAGCUUUUCUUUAGUCCUUUACUUUGCUAAUAAACUUGCUUUCACUUUACUGUAUGGACUCGCCCUGUCUCUACAAAAAAGAAAGAAAAAAAAAGUGACAGUAAAAUAAAGGCUUUUUAGGCAUGCAGAAACUCGCUCCCUCUGUACCUGUCCUGAAAAAAUGACUGAUAUCAGACAUGGUAGCCCUGUGAAGGUGUAGCCCUGCAAAUUGAAAUGGAAUCCAAGAGGCCGGGCGCGGUGGUUCAUGCCUGUAAUCCCAGCACUUUGGGAGGCUGAGGUGGGCGGAUCACUUGAGGUCAAGAGUUCAAGACCAGCCUGGCCAACAUGGUGAAACCCCGUCUCUACUAAAAAUACAAGAAGUUAGCCUGGCAUGGUGGCGGGUGCCUGUAAUGCCAGCUACUCGGGAGGCUGAGGCAGGAGAAUCACUUGAACCCAGGAGGCGGAGGUUGCAGUGAGCCGAGAUCGAGCCAUUGCACUCCAGCCUGGGGAACAAGAGCGAAACCCCGUCUCAAAAAAAAAAAAAAAAAGAAAGAAAAAAGAAAUGGAAUCCAAGGAGCAAGGUGUGGAACCCAAGAAGCAGAGAAAUUAACCCAGGAAUCAAUGAAACGAAAACAGCUUUGCCGCAGGUCCCCCAAAACAAGAGGUCAGAAGGAGAAAAAAAUGGAUUCCAUGCAACAGCUAGCAUUAUUACAAAGGGGAAAGACCUCAGUCAUAUGGUGAAGAAAAUGACACGUUUCUUAAGAAGGAAAAACAACAACAACAAAACUCCAGGUAAAAAAGAAAUCUAAUAUUAUCAUGUCCUAAAUAAGGUACAAACUCAAAUCUGGCAUUAUUUUAAUUAACUGAUGUAGUAUAAGAGAAAAUCCAUUUUAUAUUGCUGCUUAGAAUAUUCCUUUUUGAGUAACACAGGCUGACUGACAUAGGAUUAUGUCUUUAAGUCCAUUUCAUUAGGUUUACAGUAACGAUGUUUAUAUAACCAUAAUGUUGUGAAUACUUCCUCCCCGAACUCAUAAGCUCUGGGUUUUAUAUAUUACUAACCUAAAGCCAUGUAUCAGUGGCUUUGCUUGAGCAAAGGAUCAUUUGGACCCAGAAAGCUUAUUUUCAAGGCAGCUUUCAAAAAGUCAAGUGGCAGGGCAGCACUGUUCACAUUUUGAUGUGCACCUCCCCAUCAUCUCCCCUCACCUCCCCCCACCU
rnacentral:lncRNA from 1 species